UACAAAUGCUUUGAGUCCUUGAAUCCCUGAUUUGCGUCUCUCCACCCAUUUAAACUCUCACCUUUUAAAGCUUUGGCCAUGACAACAAUUGCAAGAGGCAAUCCCUUACAUUGAGCAGCAACCUCUUUGGCUACAUCAUUCAAGGUGGAACAAUCAUCUUCUAAACCAGCUUUAUCUCGAAAUAAAACCCAUGCUUCGUCUUCGAAUAAGAUGCCAAGUUGAAUUUCCUUACAGUUCAUUUUAGUGCAGACUUGUUGACGACGUGUAGUCAAAAGAAUUUUACAACCCUCGUGUUCAUCACCGAAUGGAAUUCCGAUACUCUCCAUUUUGAAUUCUUCCCAGACGUCGUCGACAAUUACGAGGAUUUUGUUCACGCGUUGCAUACUCCUGAAUAGCUCUUCUGCUCUUCCUUCUUCGGUAUUUGUAUGAAAAUUUAAACCAAACAUCUCUGCAACUUUAUCUCGAAUUGUUCUGAUGUUUGGAUUUUGGGACAUAGUAAACAUCACAACUUUAUCAAACAACUUCUGUUCUCGAGCGUGCUUCCCAACUUCUUUGGCUAAAGUUGUUUUACCAACUCCUGGCAUUCCGUGCAGUCCGAUCAUGUUGACACCCUUAGCAUUUAUAGCCUCCAUGAUCUGGUUGAAAGCUGAUUUUGAAGAUUUAGAGUCCAUGAAAUCAGUGGAUGUGAUGAACUCUAUUCCUUGAAGAGGACGACGAUAGCCCACCUGUACAAAGUUAGAAGUCUCUAAAAGUUUAGAGAUAAUAGGGAUCUUCUCUGCCAGUUUCUUACUUAAGGAAUAUCGCCAGCCCCAUUUAGGACACCAUUUGAAACACUUGACGCGAUCUAUUUCAUCUUUCAAGUUCUGGGUUUCUUUUAGUUCUUUCUCAGCGCUUGUAAGCCAGUUGUCAACGUCCUUAUGGAUGAGCUCAUUUUGCCUUUCAGCCCCCUCGACACAAAUUUUCACCCUCUCUUUCUUCGAUUCAAGUGCUUCUCGUUGAUUCGUGAAAUCUUCAACAAUCUUUUCAUAAGAGAAAAAGUAACGGAGAUAGGGUGAUGCGUAUUCCUUUGCCUGGUCUGCCACAAUUUCGACAGCAGGAGGGGCAACAUAUUCGGCCAUUUUUGUUGAUAGUCUGAUGAGGAUGAACAAAAACAUUGGUUAUUAGUAAGAAGAUUCACAUAAAGAGAAAUAAAAGCAAUUGUGACAAAUAAAAUCAGUAUUUGUAGUAAAAAAUCGAGUAAAAGCUACCAAAUAAGCUGUAAAUAUUGAUGUAAAGCAAAGAUGUUAUUAUUGAAGAAGGUAGAAAUUACCUCUGUUUCUGUCUGUGAAUACCAGAAAGUAAAUAGAGCUCGAGUGAAAUAAGUAGCUGUAAAAGAUGAAAGAAUUGAUUUAGUGCAGGUAAUAGAAAAUUAAUAAUAAUAAUAAAUAGAGCAUGGAUAAGUUUUAUCCAGCAUAUCACAAAUAAAUAAUUAAUUAAUGUUGUAAUAGGCCAAUUUUGGCCUGGUUAAAAAACAAAUUACAAGCCCAAAUUAUAACCCAAUUACAUUAGCCUAAAACUAAAUCUAACCUAGCCCAAUAAACCCAUCAAAGCCCUUUCGCCUCAGUGCUGCAGCAGCAGCCUCCUUCCCAGCCUUGGCGCCGCAGCAACUGUCUUCGCGCACGAACGCACAACAGCCCCGUAUGUCGCGCACGUCGCCCUCGCACAGUCCACGAACUCUAAUUCAGUACACCUGUAAACCACGAAUAGCAUUAAUAGGACGAUACAUACAGAAAAUUGUAAAAAAUGGCUAUAAAAAGCCAAUCGAUUUAUGUAAUAGGGGUUAGCAAAUUUUGUAUUGGAAAAAACUGAAAAAGAAAAUACAAGAGAAAAAAAAAGCAUUUUUUGAAGGUGAGAGAUUUUGUUUUUUUUUUCUUUCUUUCUUUUUUUACUGUUUUUAUUUUUAUUUUGUUUCUGAAAACAAAAAACGAAGAGGGGAAGGAAGGGGAAACUUACCGUCGCGAGCGGCGUCGGAGGAUCUCUUCGUUCCGUCGUCGGAAUGAGAGGUAUGCGGAGUGGCAGUGAGGGAGGAGAGCUGCGGCGCAUUUGUGGGGUGGCUGAAGAAGUGAUUUUUAGGGUUUUAAAAUUGGCUUUUAUAGGGUAUUCUUAAAAAUGGGUCAUUUUCUCGAUUGGUCCCCCUGUUUUUGCAGUGUUUUUAAUUUGUUUUUUAUUUCUUUAAAAUUUUGCAAAUUAUUUUAUUUCUGUUUCAAAUGGGUCCAAUGUUGCGCAGCGUUUUGGGGGGUUUGGGUAAAUUGUUUUUUUCAGUCCUCCUUCUGUUGCGCGUAUUUUAAUUUUCUCCCCUUCGCGUUUUCUAUUUUUGAAUUUAGCUUUUAAUUCUGCUAAUUUUCAAUUUAGUCCUUAAUCAUUCAUUUUAGGUUUUUUUAGUUUAUUUUAUUAAUAUUAUUAUUAUUAUUGUAUUAUAUAUUGUUAUCAUUAUACUUACAUAUAUAUGCGCAUAUGCAUGCUAAUUUGUAUAUAUAAAUAUUUUAAACGUUUAUUAUAAACAUAUUUUAUUAUUAUUUUAUUUUCAUAGUUUUAUAUAUAUGUAUAUGCGUUUAUAUUUUAUAAUAUUCAUACAUUUUCCAUAUUUAUAAUUCAUACAUAUAUACAUUUUUUUAUAUAAUAUAUAUAUUAUUCAAAACUAUUAUAAAUAUAUUUUUCACAUUUGUUUUAUAUAUACGUACAUAUACAUGCUUUCAAAAUUUUUUUGUAUACUUUUUAAAAAAAAAAGGAAAUGCAUGUACAUAUUUUAUAUUUUAUUUCCAUAACUUUAGUAUACAUAUAAUUUAAAUUAAAGUACUUAUUUCAUAUUGUACAUUAAUUUUUUUUUGACCUACCUUUUAGAAAAUAUAUAUUUUGAUUUCUGCAAAACAUUAAAAUCAUUUUCUUUUGAUUCAAUGGUUUUUCAAAUAAAAGUGAUAUUCAAAGUAUGGGAUUUUCGAGGAAGUUAAGCCCUAACGUAUUGGGUUCCGAUUUUUUUUGUUAAUCUUAAAUAACUGAGAAUAUUCCUUAUUUAAAAUGCGUAAGCAAAAAAAAAAUCAUUUUCGGGAAUUCAACAUAUUAUGUCCUAACGUAUUGGGUAUGACAUAUUGUUUUCUUGAGGUGAAGAUUUUCUCUAAAAUAAAAACAAUAUUCAAGGUUUGGGGAUUUUGAGAAAUUGUACCCUAACGUAUUGGGUCUCGAUUUCUUCGUUUGACUUAAACAUUUGAUUAUCUUUUUCGGAUUUCACCAUUUGAGCUUUUUUUUUAAAUCUUUUUAAUUUUCGACACCAAGACAUUAAAUAAUCAAUUUGGUACCGAUUUUGGGCGUCACGAGGGUGCUAACCCCUUCCUCGUGCGUAACUGACUCCCGAACUCAUUUUCUCAAAUUUCGUAGACCAAAAUAUUUUUUAAGGUGAUCCGAUCACACCUCAAUAAAGGAUCGGUGGUGACUCCAGUUUUUUUUUUUUUUUUUUUAAAGUCAACAAUUAAAUUUUUGCUUUCAAAAAAUGGUUUCGACAAAUGUAAUGCAAAUAAUAUAACCAUAUAUGCACUCAAUCGUAAUUACUCUUCCCAUUAUAUUCAUUCUAAAUCGGAGCUAUAAUUUGUAUGUGAAAUACCAUCAUCUUCUUUCAAAAACAAUUUCUCAUUCUUAAACAUAUUUUAUAUUUAUUUCUACAUUUUGGAUUAUAGAUUGGAUGCUUUUAAGUUCCUAUAGAAUUAGAGUUUGUGUGCUCUCUAAAAUGUUUAACGAAAAAAAUGAGAAGACUAAUGAAUGGAGAAAGGCGACUCUUCAUUUGCCCCUUUCAUCCGCAUGUUAUACACUUUAACUCUGAGUAAAAUCUGAUUCGAUUUAAAAAACUUGAUAAAAAUUUUAAAUUUUGAUUUAACUAGUUCAAGUUAUUUGAGUUAAUCAAGUUAUUCGGAUAAACUCGAAUAUGAAUUACACAAUUCGAGUUAUUUUGGUUAAUGCCUUUCUUCAAGUAAUCGUAGCUAAGCUUAAGAGGCUCGAGGACACCCCCGAGGACUUCUUCAUCAUACAAAAGCGUUGAGUCCUUGAAUCUCUGAUUUGCGUCUCUCCACCCAUUUAAACUCUCACCUUUUAAAGCUUUGGCCACGACAACAAUUGCAAGAGGCAAUCCCUUACAUUCAGCAGCAACCUCUUUGGCUACAUCAUUCAAGGUGGAACAAUCAUCUUCUAAACCAGCUUUAUCUCGAAAUAAAACCCAUGCUUCGUCUUCGGAUAAGAUGCCAAGUUGAAUUUCCUUACAGUUCAUUUUAGUGCAGACUUGUUGACGACGUGUAGUCAGAAGAAUUUUACAACCCUCGUGUUCAUCACCGAAUGGAAUUCCGAUACUCUCCAUUUUGAAUUCUUCCCAGAGGUUGUCGACAAUUACGAGGAUUUUGUUCACGCCUUGCAUACUCCUGAAUAGCUCUUCUGCUCUCCCUUCUUCGGUAUUUGUAUGAAAAUUUAAACCAAACAUCUCUGCAACUUUAUCUUGAAUUGUUCUGAUGUUUGGAUUUUGGGACAUAGUAAACAUCACAACUUUAUCAAACAACUUUUGUUCUCGAGCAUGCUUCCCAACUUCUUUGGCUAAACUUGUUUUACCAACUCCUGGCAUUCCGUGCAGUCCGAUCAUGUUGACACCCUUAGCAUUUAUAGCCUCCAUGAUCUGGUUGAAAGCUGAUAUUGAAGAUUCAGAGUCCAUGAAAUCAGUGGAUGUGAUGAACUCUAUUCCUUGAAGAGGACGACGAUAGCCCACCUGUGCAAAGUUAGAAGUCUGUAAAAGUUUAGAGAUAAUAGGAAUCUUCUCUGCCAGUUUCUUACUUAAGGAAUAUCGCCAGCCCCAUUUAGGACACCAUUUGAAACACUUGACGCGAUCUAUUUCAUCUUUCAAGUUCUGGGUUUCUUUCAGUUCUUUCUCAGCGCUUGUAAGCCAGUUGUCAACGUCCUUAUGGAUGAGCUCAUUUUGCCUUUCAGCCUCAUCGACACGAAUUUUCACCCUCUCUUUCUUUAAUUCAAGUGCUUCUCGUUGAUUCUUGAAAUCUUCAACAAUCUCUCCAUAACGGAAAAAGUAACGAAGAUAGGGUGAUGCGUAUUCCUUUGCCUGGUCUGCCACAAUUUCGACAGCAGGAGGGGCAACAUAUUCGGCCAUUUUUGUUGAUAGUCUGAUGAGGUUGAACAAAAA
rnacentral:lncRNA from 1 species